rnacentral:rRNA from 1 species
CCUACGGGAGACAGCAGUCGAGAAUCAUUCACAAUGGGGGAAACCCUGAUGGUGCGACGCCGCGUGGGGGAAUGAAGGUCUUCGGAUUGUAAACCCCUGUCAUGUGGGAGCAAAUUAAAAAGAUAGUACCACAAGAGGAAGAGACGGCUAACUCUGUGCCAGCAGCCGCGGUAAUACAGAGGGCUCAAGCGUUGUUCGGAAUCACUGGGCGUAAAGUGUGCGUAGGCUGUUUCGUAAGUCGUGUGUGAAAGGCGCGGGCUCAACCCGCGGACGGCACAUGAUACUGCGAGACUAGAGUAAUGGAGGGGGAACCGGAAUUCUCGGUGUAGCAGUGAAAUGCGUAGAUAUCGAGAGGAACACUCGUGGCGAAGGCGGGUUCCUGGACAUUAACUGACGCUGAGGCACGAAGGCCAGGGGAGCGAAAGGGAUUAGAUACCCUGGUAGUC